GGCGAACGCUGGCGGCGUGCCUAAUACAUGCCAGUCGAGCGGACCGGAUUGGGGCUUGCCUUGAUUCGGUCAGCGGCGGACGGGUGAGUAACACGUGGGCAACCUGCCCGCAAGACCGGGAUAACUCCGGGAAACCGGAGCUAAUACCGGAUAACACCGAAGACCGCAUGGUCUUCGGUUGAAAGGCGGCCUUUGGGCUGUCACUUGCGGAUGGGCCCGCGGCGCAUUAGCUAGUUGGUGAGGUAACGGCUCACCAAGGCGACGAUGCGUAGCCGGCCUGAGAGGGUGACCGGCCACACUGGGACUGAGACACGGCCCAGACUCCUACGGGAGGCAGCAGUAGGGAAUCUUCCGCAAUGGGCGAAAGCCUGACGGAGCGACGCCGCGUGAGCGAAGAAGGCCUUCGGGUCGUAAAGCUCUGUUGUGAGGGACGAAGGAGCGUCGUUCGAAGAGGGCGGCGCGGUGACGGUACCUCACGAGAAAGCCCCGGCUAACUACGUG
rnacentral:rRNA from 1 species